GCUGGGCGUGGUGGCGCAUGCCUGUAGUCCCAGCUACUCGGGAGGCUGAGGCGGGAUGAUCGUUGAGUCCAGGAGUUCUGGACUGCAGUGUGCUGUGCCGACCAGGUGUCCACACUAAGUUCAACAUCAAUAUGGUGACCUCCUGGGAGUGGGGGACCACCAGGUUGCCUAAGGAGGGGUGAACCGGCCCGGGUCAGAAUCGGAGCAGGUUAAAACUCCCGUGCUGAUCUGUAGAAAAAUGGAUGCAUCUUGGUACCAUAAUCUUAAGUGAAAUAAAUCAGAUACGCAAGCUUAGAUAUCACAUGGUGUCUUCU
rnacentral:SRP_RNA from 1 species